CACCUGUUUAUCAAAAACAUGGUUUUAUGAUUAUAUUUUAAGAUUUAUUCUGCUCAAUGAUAAUAUAUUAAUUAUUAAAUAGCCGCAGUAUUUUGACUGUGCAAAGGUAGCAUAAUCAAUUGUCUUUUAAUUAAAGACUGGAAUGAAGGAAUGAAUGAAAUUUGAACUGUCUAUAAUAAAAAAUUAAAAUUUAAAUUUUAAGUUAAAAUGCUUAAAUGAAAUUAUGGGACGAGAAGACCCUAUAGAAUUUUAUAUAAAUUUUUAAAUAAUGUAUGAGUUAAAAAAAAUAAAAUUUAAAAUUAUAUUUUAUUGGGAGGAUAAUUAAAUUAAUUUAACUUUAUUAAUCAAUAAUAUAUAUAUAUAUAUAUAUAUAUAUAUAUAUAUAUGAAACAUUAAUUUAUGAAAAGAUGAAUAAAUUUUUAUUGAAUUUAUAUUAGAAUUAAUUACCUUAGGGAUAACAGCGUUAUAUUUUUUAAAAGAUCAUAUUAAGAAAAAUGUUUGCGACCUCGAUGUUGAAUUAAAGUAAAAAUUAAAUGAAGAAGUUUAAUAUUUUAGUCUGUUCGACUAUUAAAAUUUUACAUGAUUUGAGUUCAAAUCGACG
rnacentral:rRNA from 1 species